rnacentral:rRNA from 1 species
UAGGGAAUCUUCCACAAUGGACGCAAGUCUGAUGGAGCAACGCCGCGUGAGUGAAGAAGGGUUUCGGCUCGUAAAGCUCUGUUGUUAAAGAAGAACAUAUCUGAGAGUAACUGUUCAGGUAUUGACGGUAUUUAACCAGAAAGCCACGGCUAGCUACGUGCCAG